rnacentral:rRNA from 1 species
GUGAGGAAUAUUGGUCAAUGGUCGCAAGACUGAACCAGCCAUGCCGCGUGCAGGAAGACGGUCCUAUGGAUUGUAAACUGCUUUUAUACAGGAAGAAACCCUCCCACGUGUGGGAGCUUGACGGUACUGUAGGAAUAAGGAUCGGCUAACUCCGUGCCAGCAGCCGCGGUAAUACGGAGGAUCCAAGCGUUAUCCGGAAUCAUUGGGUUUAAAGGGUCCGUAGGCGGUCUUAUAAGUCAGUGGUGAAAGCCCAUCGCUCAACGAUGGAACUGCCAUUGAUACUGUAAGACUUGAAUGCUUAGGAAGUAACUAGAAUAUGUAGUGUAGCGGUGAAAUGCUUAGAUAUUACAUGGAAUACCAAUUGCGAAGGCAGGUUACUACUAAGUGAUUGACGCUGAUGGACGAAAGCGUGGGGAGCGAACAGGAUUAGAAACCCUAGUAGUCC